GGUUGCUGGUACAAGUCCCAUCAGGCUGCGAGGAGCCCUUCCCGGACGCUGCUGGCUCCUGGAACUGACUUGCCUCCUCAUGCACACGUAGGCAGCUUAUCUCGGGUUUUGUUUUGGCUUCGAAAUCUUUUAAUCUCCCAGGAUCUUUGAGUGGAUCAGCUCCUAUUUUUACUCUUGGAUAGAGAAGUGAAUCAGAGACACGGCCAACUCCGUUGGACUUGUGGAGGCCUGUCCCCGAGCACUGAAUUCCUUGCAGCUUCAAGACAGAGCUGAGACUGAAUUAAAAAACACCAACAGGAUUGGGCCUGCUCAUGAUCAUGGAGUUUGGUGCGUAGUAGGCAUUCAGCAGGUAUUCGUUGAAAAUAAAUAUCAAUGAAUCCUGUUAAUUCUAAGUAGCUUUCUUCCCCUGCCCCCACUGCACAGAGUGUAGUACACAAGGCAAUGGCAGCCAAUAGGUUGUUACCUGAAUUGGCAGAGCCCUCUGCCUGUAAUUUUACCAAAGCAAAAAUAUUUGUGGAUGUGGCUACACACAGUGGCACUUUCUAGGCUUCAUGCAGGCUUGGAAACCUUCCUUUUUCUUUUCUUAUACGCGGCCACUGCAUUUACCCUUCACCUUCUUUCUAAGGGAAGACCCAGUCACAGAACCAGUUUAAACUGCAUCCCUUUUGAAUGGGGCCGGACUCACACGAGGAGUGGUGACUGUACGAGUUAAUGUGGUUUUACUACCCAGAAGGUGAGAUUUAGCUGUCAUUUUAGAGCUCAUUUAAAACAUUCUCUAUAACUUCCU
rnacentral:lncRNA from 13 species